ACGCCGCGUGAGUGAUGAAGGUUUUCGGAUCGUAAAGCUCUGUUGUUAGGGAAGAACAAGUACAAGAGUAACUGCUUGUACCUUGACGGUACCUAACCAGAAAGCCACGGCUAACUACGUGCCAGCAGCCGCGGUAAUACGUAGGUGGCAAGCGUUGUCCGGAAUUAUUGGGCGUAAAGCGCGCGCAGGCGGUCCUUUAAGUCUGAUGUGAAAGCCCACGGCUCAACCGUGGAGGGUCAUUGGAAACUGGGGGACUUGAGUGCAGAAGAGAAGAGUGGAAUUCCACGUGUAGCGGUGAAAUGCGUAGAGAUGUGGAGGAACACCAGUGGCGAAGGCGACUCUUUGGUCUGUAACUGACGCUGAGGCGCGAAAGCGUGGGGAGCAAACAGGAUUAGAUACC
rnacentral:rRNA from 2 species